GCCCUCUUAGCUCAGUGGUAGAGCGCAUCACUCGUACUGUACAGAUAUGAUGAGGUCGGUUGUUCAAUCCAGCCAGGGGGCA